rnacentral:rRNA from 1 species
UAGCCAUGAGCAGGCUGAAGUGGAGGUAAAACUCCAUGGAGGGCCGAACCCACUCCCGUUGAAAUGGUAGGGGAUGACUUGUGGCUAGCGGAGAAAUUCCAAUCGAACCCGGAGAUAGCUGGUUCUCUCCGAAAUAGCUUUAGGGCUAGCCUCAAUUAACAUUACCGCAGGUAAAGCACUGAAUGAGCUAGGGGGCGAAAGCUUACUGAACUCUAUCAAACUCAGAAUGGCGGAUAAUGAAUGAUUGGGAGUCACACUACGUGAGAUAAGUUUCGUGGUGGAAAGGGAAACAGCCCAGACCCACAGCUAAGGUCCCAAAGUACAGUUAAGUGGAAAAGGAUGUGAAAUUGCGCAGACAACCAGGAUGUUGGCUCAGAAGCAGCCACUCAUUCAAAGAGUGCGUAAUAGCUCACUGGUCGAGUGAUUUUGCGCCGAAAAUUUAACGGGGCUAAACUGUACACCGAAGCUUGGGAAUAUACAUUUGUAUGUUGGUAGGAGAGCGUUGUGUAAGGGGUGAAGUCGUAGCGAAAGCGGCGGUGGACUUUACACAAGUGAGAAUGCCGGAAUGAGUAGCGAGAAUUAUGUGAGAAUCAUAAUGGCCGAAAGACUAAGGUUUUAGAAGGAAGGUUCGUCCGCUUCUAGUUAGCCGGGAGCUAAGGCGAGGCCGAGAGGCGUAGUCGAUGCACAUACGGUUGAGAUUCCGUAGCUACCUUGCAUUUAAGCGAAGGGACACAUUUGAAGGGCAUGACCCGGGCGUUGGUUGACCCGGGCGUAAGGGACCGAAAAUAAGUAGGGAAGCAUGCUUGGAUGGUGGCGAGAAAAGCUUCGUGUAUAUAAGCAGGGUACCCGUACUGCAAACCGACACAGGUAGUCAGGAAGAGGAUUCUAAGGCCAUCGGGAGAAGCGUUGUUAAGGAACUCGGCAAAUUGACCCCGUAACUUCGGAAUAAGGGGUGCUCACGCGAGUGAGCCGCAGUGAAUAGGUCCAGGCAACUGUUUAUCAAAAACACAGCUCUCUGCUAAAUCGUAAGAUGACGUAUAGGGGGUGACACCUGCCCGGUGCUGGAAGGUUAAGAGGAGGGGUGCAAGCUCCGAAUUGAAGCCCCAGUAAACGGCGGCCGUAACUAUAACGGUCCUAAGGUAGCGAAAUUCCUUGUCGGGUAAGUUCCGACCCGCACGAAUGGUGUAAUGAUCUGGACACUGUCUCAACAACGCACCCGGCGAAAUUGUAGUACCGGUGAAGAUGCCGGUUACCCGCGGCAAGACGGAAAGACCCCAUGGAGCUUCACUGUAGCCUGAUAUUGGGUCUCGGUAUUUUAUGUACAGGAUAGGCGGGAGACUUGGAAACCAGCACGCCAGUGUUGGCGGAGUCACCCUUGGGAUACCGCUCUUAAAGUAUUGAGAUUCUAACCUGCAGCCAUGAAUCUGGCUGGGGGACAUUGUCAGGUGGGCAGUUUGACUGGGGCGGUCGCCUCCAAAAGAGUAACGGAGGCGUUCAAAGGUUCACUCAGCAUGGACGGAAACCAUGCCUUAGAGUGCAAACGCAUAAGUGAGCCUAACUGCGAGACUGACGGGUCGAGCAGUAACGAAAGUUGGAGUUAGUGAUCCGGCGGUAUGUGAGUGGAAAUGCCGUCGCUCAACGGAUAAAAGCUACCCUGGGGAUAACAGGCUGAUCUCCCCCAAGAGUCCACAUCGACGGGGAGGUUUGGCACCUCGAUGUCGGCUCAUCGCAUCCUGGAGCUGAAGUCGGUUCCAAGGGUUGGGCUGUUCGCCCAUUAAAGCGGUACGCGAGCUGGGUUCAGAACGUCGUGAGACAGUUCGGUCCCUAUCUGUCGUGGGCGUAGGAUAUUUGAAGGGCGCUGUUCCUAGUACGAGAGGACCGGAAUGGACGCACCGCUGGUGUAUCGGUUGUCAUGCCAAUGGCACGGCCGAGCAGCUAUGUGCGGAUGGGAUAAACGCUGAAAGCAUCUAAGCGUGAAGCCCUCCCUAAGAUAAGAUAUCCCACUGUUUACAGUUAAGACCCCUUAUGGACUAUGAGGUUGAUAGGCUGCGUGUGUAAGUAUGGUGACAUAUUUAGCUAGGCAGUACUAAUAGGUCGAGGGCUUGACCU